ensembl:lncRNA
GUUUGAGGUGACUCGUGGGGGUGACUAGGGAGUCCUGGGACAUCUCAUGCUUCCACCACUGGGACCUGUAUAGCCCCACAGUCCAGUCCCUGGCCCAGCCCCUGGGUGCGCCGGUCCUCUCUCUUCUCUUGGCUUCAAGUUUCCCAGCAAAAGAACAGGGCUUGGCACAGGAGUCUCCAACGUUCUCCCGGCUGGGAUGGCCGCCUCCGUGGCCGCUGACUGCGGGCGGGACGCUGGAGCACCGGCCUGUCUUGCAGGCAACCCCAGUCCCCACUUCCAGCAGAGGCUCUGAACAGGCGGCCUCCGCCUCCGGCCAAGAGAGGGCGCUGUGGCACCGCCGCACCCGAGCCGGCUCGGCGCGUGGCAGAGCGGGUCCCUGCAGUCCAGGCCCUGGGUGGGCCCCAGGCAUCCGCUGCCUCCUUGUCCACGUGUCCUUCUCCGCGCAGCCCUGUUCACGCCAGAGUGCCCUUAGGACUCGAGUGUCCGCUUCUCAGAGCCCGGCCGGCCCCCUCCUGGGUGUGGAUAAUUUGGAAUCAGUUAAAAGGGGGUCUUGAUGAGUGGAUCUGGGUCCUCAAACUGCCACCUCCUUUGGAUCGUUCCUGACCCUGAAGAGAACCUGACCCAGAUGUACCAAGACCUUGCCGGAAGCCUCUAGCCAGAGCAGCUGGUGAGAGGAGCCUGACCCCCUCUCCAACCCCUCCCUUUUGUCCAUAGUGAAUACACCAGGAUUUGGUUUCUCCACUGACCCCCCCACCCCACUAGCCUCUGGCCCAGGGCUCCCAUCCAUCCUGUCUCCCCUGGGGGCCUCUCCAGGAUGCAGACAAAGACAGCAUCUCAGGUUCCCUUGUCUGGGCGCUGGCCCUUUGAUCUGCCCCCCUCCUCUUUCCCCGGGGGGUCCUGGGAUGCCCUGGGGAAGCUCCAUCCAGGGACAGGCACCCAGAGAUAAGAUCUGGGAUGGGAAGGAGCCCAGAGCACAGGGGACUUUAAAGGUGUGCCGACAGACCCCCCCUUCACCAAGCUUGCGUCUGCCUCCCUUCCCCCACCUGCUUGUUGUUCUCUCCCCAGGCCCUGGACUCCCACUGGGACCCUGAUUGGGAUUCUCAGAGCAUUGAGACUAUUGGCCAUCCAUCUUCCCAGCAGCUCUUUGGGGGAAAGAUGCCCAUUGCAUGAAAUGAAGCCUCUCAAAGAGGAGCCCCAGGUUACCUGUUGCAACAGAUUCGUCUGGGAGCUCCAAGGCCCAGCCCCAGCCCAUACCCAGUGAGUCCGAAUCUCCAGGAGGGGCCCAGGCAUCUGCACAUCCAGCAAGUUCCCAGCUUCACACUGUAGGGCCCCACCUCUCUCCACCCCCAGGAUCUUCAAGGGCACAGCAAAGUGUCCACCACGAACUGCCUUCACCCCAGCCCUUGGGACCAUGUGGGGACUGGGUGGGAACUCUGGGCUCUUGCGAGACUGCCAAGGCUGAGCCCUUCACACUGCAGGGGCCUCAAUCAGCCUCCUGGAGGGAAGCGACGCUCUGGGGCCAGGAAAACCCAAUUCCAUCCUCCUUUUCUGUUCCACCUGGGGCUGUGAGCCUCGGGCAGGGCCCCUCUGUCUGGGUCCCGUGUAAACUCCUCUUUGCCUGCUUUACC